CAUGCCGCAGCUUACCAUGCGAGUCGAACGGAAUCUUCGGAUUUAGUGGCGGACGGGUGAGUAACGCGUGAGAAUGGGGCUUCAGGUCGGGGACAACAGUUGGAAACGACUGCUAAUACCGGAUGUGCCGAGAGGUAAAAGAUUAAUUGCCUGAAGAUGAGCUCGCGUCUGAUUAGCUAGUUGGUGUGGUAAGAGCGCACCAAGGCGACGAUCAGUAGCUGGUCUGAGAGGAUGAUCAGCCACACUGGGACUGAGACACGGCCCAGACUCCUACGGGAGGCAGCAGUGGGGAAUUUUCCGCAAUGGGCGAAAGCCUGACGGAGCAAUACCGCGUGAGGGAGGAAGGCUCUUGGGUUGUAAACCUCUUUUCUCAAGGAAUAAAAAAAUGAAGGUACUUGAGGAAUAAGCAUCGGCUAACUCCGUGCCAGCAGCCGCGGUAAUACGGAGGAUGCAAGCGUUAUCCGGAAUGAUUGGGCGUAAAGGGUCCGCAGGUGGCAGUGAAAGUCUGCUGUCAAAGAAUGAGGCUCAACCUCAUCAAGGCAGUGGAAACUACACAGCUAGAGUACGGUCGGGGUAGAAGGAAUUCCUGGUGUAGCGGUGAAAUGCGUAGAA
rnacentral:rRNA from 1 species